AAAUUGAAGAGUUUGAUCAUGGCUCAGAUUGAACGCUGGCGGCAGGCCUAACACAUGCAAGUCGAACGGUAACAGGAAGCAGCUUGCUGCUUUGCUGACGAGUGGCGGACGGGUGAGUAAUGUCUGGGAAGCUGCCUGAUGGAGGGGGAUAACUACUGGAAACGGUGGCUAAUACCGCAUAACGUCGCAAGACCAAAGAGGGGGACCUUCGGGCCUCUUGCCAUCAGAUGUGCCCAGAUGGGAUUAGCUUGUUGGUGAGGUAACGGCUCACCAAGGCGACGAUCCCUAGCUGGUCUGAGAGGAUGACCAGCCACACUGGAACUGAGACACGGUCCAGACUCCUACGGGAGGCAGCAGUGGGGAAUAUUGCACAAUGGGCGCAAGCCUGAUGCAGCCAUGCCGCGUGUAUGAAGAAGGCCUUCGGGUUGUAAAGUACUUUCAGCGGGGAGGAAGGUGUUG
rnacentral:rRNA from 2 species